UGAAGGAGAUUUGCCAAGCUUCAGCCUUGUCCAUUGCAGACACAUUCGACAGAUACUGUGCCUAGGCCCUGCAGGCAAGAAAAGAGGCAGAGAUUGGAAAGGCAGUACUAUAUAGGAAUCAGAGCUCUACUCUUCAUCCUGUGGCUCAGGAGGAACUGAUGAAAGAGGGUGCAACUGCACCUGAGAUCAUGAUGGUUUUGGCAGGAAAGCUGACACAGCUUCAUCCACUAGCAGUUUUAAGCUAGAAAAUCUCCAAUAAACAGGCCUACACAUGCGUAAUUCCAGUUUGUGCCUGCACUGAGAACCUCAGUGAACAGCACUGAUAGGGCGUACGCUAUUCCUCCCAUUUUUUGCAUCAUUGCAAAUUUAAUGAAUAGUUCUUCCACCCCCUCAUCUGGAUCAUUUAUUAAAAAAAAUUGAAAAAGCACCAGUCUCAGAAUCUAGACACUCCUUCCAAUCAGAUGAAGUGCCACUGACAAUUACUCUUUGGGUGUGGUUCCCAACCAGUUCCCUAUCCAUUUACCGGUAACUAUCCUACAGUCUAGUAUCCAGUGUUCCAGUUCAGCUGUCAGCACAUCAUGGGGAAUUUUUACUGAAAUCCAGCUGGAACAGAGAAAGCUAUUCCCAGGCAUGAGAAGAGCUUAUUGUCUUGAUAAGGAAGAUCAACAUGUGUUUAAUUUUUUGUAGAACAGCCAGUGAUAGAAUUCAAAUAAUUUAACAACUGAUUGUUUACAAGCACCCUUUUAACAACCGGUUCUGCCAAAGUGGUGCAAAGCUGCUGAAUCCCACCACUGAGAACAGCCCACUGAAGUUCUGUGUUCUGGGGAAAAGUAGGGGAAAAUCUACUUGUCAGAUUUCAUUCUUGAUGGCUUCAGGAUGGGGCAGUCUGACCUUAGGAAAGUGCCUUGCAUUGUUGCAGGCAGGGUUGCUAGGCUUUGGUGACCCCAAUGUGAAGGGCUUCCCACAAUGCUCCCAGACCAUCUCUUGAAAAAGCCUCUGAUAUACACUUUAAACCUUAAGAAAUCACACUCCACAAUCCAUCAAGACAGCAAACAUAGAAGACAGUAAAAAAAAUGUAAAGAGAAGAAGACAUUUCUCCAUACAUAAGGAUGCUAGGAUCUGUGAAGUCUCACCUAUUCAGAAGCCACUCCAAGAUUUAAGCUGCAGAGUGCUGCAUGACUUUAAUGCGUGGGGUGGGGGGGGAGGGAUAGAGGAGGCAAGAUGCAAACAAACACUGUGCUGCUCUAGAACGGCAGCAGAUGGAAAAUUCACCGAGUCCAAGUCAGACUCGUUGAGUUUUUGAACAGAGUUUUUAGAUGUCUCACAAUCAAGUGACUUUCGACCAUUUUCCUUGCAUCUCCUGCGGAGUUUUGUUGAAGACUCAAAGGAACUGGAUUGUGAGGAUGGAGAUGACUGUAAUGAAUCAGUGCCAAGCAAAGGUGGCUGAUGAGGAAGAAGAAAGAGCAGCAAACAAAGUGCAAGAGCAAAAAGGACAAAAAGAAAAUUUAAAUUAGUUAAUUUCCCCUGUAUAUAAAAUUAAUUACACAAGAUUAAAGAAUGCCAAAUUUAUUCACCAGAUUAAAAUAUACCAAUUCCCAUGCUGCAUGCCAUAAUUAUUCAAAUAAAGGGUAGCAGCCCAAAGAAACAAAUUUGAAAAACAACCUGUCUGUUAAAGUAUACUGGUAUGAGUUCUUAUGUUUAAAAAUGUUGUGCUAUAGAAUGGUUGUGCAUAUGUUGUUUAAAAUUAUGUAGAAAUUCCAUGCCCCUCUCUAUUCAUUAGAAAUUAAUUCGAAAUUAGAAAUUCAUGACUUCUCAAAUACAAAGGCUGAAUUCACAAAAUCUUUGCACACUGUCUCCUUCUAUUCACAUGUCAAUUCCUUCCUUCGUUUCAGGAUGCUCUAAAACAUGGCUACACUUACCUGUAACUGAUGGUCAUCAAGUGUUUUUCUGUACAGGCACAUACUGAAACUGUGCAUGCUCUGCCCAGCCACAGACAUCUAAAAGUUUCUGACAGUACAAGAAGCUAAAGGAGCACGGAGCUCUCCCAUCUUCCAGUGCAAUUUCCUGCCCUAAUCGCCUAAAAAAGAAAGGCCAUCUCUCUCAGUGUAUUGAGGUUGCCGCUGGUAAAGAUACAACCUUAAGAAGACCAAAAAAAGCUCACCACAGUGCACAGAAAGGGAUGUGUGCCUGCACAGAAGAACACUCAAUAACGGUAACAGGCAAGUGCAACCAUGUUUUCACUGUCAUGUCUUUUGUGCAGUCCCACAUGGGAGAGUAGUAUACUUCUGCCUCCUUGGUGCCCAGAAUGACUCCCUGUACAGGAACAGAAAGGUGAACUUGGACUGAGGAUUUUGCUAAUCCUUUAUAUUUUAGACUUCAUUGGUAAUCCAGCAGUGAUGAAUGAGAGCAAACUGUAGGCUCUGAGCCUGCUAUAGUAGGCCAGGCUCCAUUUCAGUGAUGGUGUGGUAGAAGGCAUUCUAAUUGCUGAGAACAUUCUUUGUACCAGCUGGGAGAAAGUCAAGACAG